GGCUGGAAGGGACCUCAAGAGAUCAUCUAGUCCAACUAGGGAACCUGGGACCUUGGUAUUAUUAACACCAUGCUCUAACCAACUCUCAUUCUUUAAAGGUGUCAAGGACCCAGGGACUCAGUGGUGUUGGUGUGGCUCAGGACUUUGCAGAUCUGGGUCUGCAUUUCACUGGCAACAGGACUGGGCCCUUGCUUUGCAAUUUGCAUCUUUGAAAACUUAUGGCAGACUGGGAGAGGUCCUGGAUGACUGAAAAAUGGCAAAUAUAAUGCCCAAUCUUUAAGAAAGGGAAGAAAGAGGAUCUGGGGAACUGCAAUGAUCAGCCUCAUCUCAGUCCCUGGAAAAAUCAUUCAGCAGGUCCUCAAGGAAUCCAUUCUUAUGCACUUGGAAGAUAAGAAAUUAAUUAUGAAUAGUCAGCAUGGAUUCAUCAAAGGCAAGUCAUGCCUGACCAACCUGAUUGCCUUCUAUGAUGAGAUGACUGGCUUUGUGGAUGCAGGGAGACCAGUGGAUGUGUGUAGCUUACAAGGCUUUUGAUACGGUUUCCCACAACAUUCUCACAAGCUAAGGACAUACAGGCUGGAUGAGUGGACUGUAAAGUGGACAGAAACCAGAUUGGAUCAUCAGGCUGAAAGGAUAGUAAUCAAAGGCUCAAUGUCUAGUUGGCAGGUGGUAUCAAGUGGAGCGCUCCAGGAGUUGCUCCUGCGGCUGGUUUUGUUUAGUAUCUUCAUCAAUGACUUGGAAGAUGAGAUGAAGUGCACCCUCAACAAGUUUGCAGAUGACAUCAAACUGGGGGGAGCAGUAGAUAUGCUGGAGGGUAGGGCUAGGAUUCAGAGUGACCUAGACAAAUUGGAGGAUUGGACAAAAAAUAAACUCAUGACUUUCAAUAAGGAGAAGUGCAAAGUCCUGCACCAAGGAUGAAACAAUCCCAUGCACUGGUACAGGCUGGGGUCCAACUAGCUAAGCAGCAGCUCUGCAGAAAAGGACCUGGGGGUACAGUAGGCAAUAAGCUGAAUAUGAGCCAAUAGCAUGCCCUUGUUGUGAAGAAAGCUAACGGCAUACUGGGCUGCAUUAGUAGCAGUACUGCUAGAAGAUCAAGGGAAGGGAUUCUUUCCCUCUAUUCAGCACUGGUGAGGCACAUCUGGAGUAAUGUGUCCAGUUUCAGGCCCACCACUACAAAUGUGUCCAGAUAUGGAUAAAUUGGAGUCCAGCCCCCAAUUAAAAUGGUUAUGGGCCUGGGGCACAUGUCUUCUGAGGAGAGGCUGAGGGAACUGAGCUUAUUUAAGUCUAGAGAAGAGAAGGCUGAGGCAGGAUUUAAUAGCAGCCUUUAUCUUCUUGAAGGGUGGUUCCAAAGAGGAUGGAGAGUUCUCAGUAGUGGCAGAUGACAGAACAAGGAUCAAUGGUUUCAUGUUGCAGCAAGAGGAGUUUAAGAUAGAUAUCACUAGGAGGGUAGUAAAGCACUAGAACAGGUUACCCAGAGAGGUUAUAAAAAACAUCCAAGGAUGGAAAUUCAAUAUCUGUCUAGACAAAGCCUUGGCUGUGAUGAUCUAGCUGGGGAUGGGUCUUGCUUUGAGCAGGGGGUUGGACUAAAUGACCUCCCUUUUGGGAGAAAAACUGUUUACUAGGGCACCCCAGGGGAGGACAAGCAGCAAUGGCCAUAAACUGUUAGAGGAUGGUUUCAGGUUGGAUGUAAAGAAGAACUUUUUUUUUUUUUUUUUUUUUUUUUUUUUUUUUUUUUUUU